UUAAAAUGAAUUCGCGGGCUAUCGAUAAACACGCAAAAUGCAAACCUAAGGUGGAAACCGGAGCACUACUAUAUAUAAUAUGGUAUUAAGAACUAGUUAUAGCCAAAAUACCGUUACUUACGAAGUUGAUUGGCAUAAUGGGUUUCCGCGUGUGUCGAGACUGGUUGCAGCAUCACAUCUGUGGAUUGUUAUUGCUUGGCACGCACCACAAUUUUGCCAUAUUUAAAGCUAAAGGUCUGGCGUGUAUGUAGUUGAGCCGAAUAUACAGGAGGCUUGAUUUUAUAGAAGCUACCCUUGGCAAUGCUGCACUCGAGCUCCGGAUUGUCAACAGCUGUACAGCGAUCGCCUAGCUGGUAGACGCCCUGUGUGACUUCGUUGGCUACCAUUGGCACAAUAUGUAGGUGUCCCUCCCGCACAUACGAAUAGCGCGGCGAGUCAUCAAAUGCCACCAGCUCCUCUUCCACAUGGUACAUGCGCUGACGUAUGUCAUGCGUCCAAACGCUGCGAUUCAGUUGUGCGCCACUAAAGUUGUCCUCAAAGAGCAGCUCGCCCUGACAUGUGCCUUGACUAUUGCUCACAAUGCUGCUGGCUGGCUUGCAAUGCUUCCGCGGUUUUUCUGAACUGAGAUUUACCUGGCACUCUUCCGCGCUGCUGCGAUUGCUGAUGUUCCGCGAGAUGCUUUGUUGUGUGUUUAUCGUUGUUUUGCAGGCUAAUGCUUUGUUUGCUAGUCCAGCUCCCAUUGGUGGCUUGCGUUAUGUAGUCCAUUAGAGCCGGACAUCUGGAAUCCACUUGCAGCAUAUAAAAAACGCGUUGCAUGCCUGGCUCAUCUAUAAUCAUUAUCAUCACAAUGGUGACCUUGAAGUUAGUCGCACCACAUACCAGAAUCCUGCCGGCUCCGACAUAUACUGUCUGAAACAAAAAGAGCGCUCGAUAGCAAAGGAUAGUCUACAAUUAGAAGGACUAUUUUUCAAAAAAAAGGAAGACACAACCGGACAUGAAUGCAUCACACAAUAACUUAUUGUAUUGUAAGCGAAUUGAUGGGAUGCUGGUGGCCAUUAUAAAACUAAAUUAUCCUGAAUAAGAACCCAAUAUGUAAGAAUUUUGAGUUAUAAAUGUAUUAUAUUAUAAUUACCCAAAGAUUACUGUUAUGCUAUUGGACAUUUGCUGAAGUUAAAAAAAAACUAAU